UGUGGUUGCAGCAAGGAGCAAG
rnacentral:misc_RNA from 1 species